rnacentral:rRNA from 1 species
CGAACGCUGGCGGCGUGCUUAACACAUGCAAGUCGAACGGAAAGGCCCUGCUUUUGUGGGGUGCUCGAGUGGCGAACGGGUGAGUAACACGUGAGUAACCUGCCCUUGACUUUGGGAUAACUUCAGGAAACUGGGGCUAAUACCGGAUAGGAGCUCCUGCUGCAUGGUGGGGGUUGGAAAGUUUCGGCGGUUGGGGAUGGACUCGCGGCUUAUCAGCUUGUUGGUGGGGUAGUGGCUUACCAAGGCUUUGACGGGUAGCCGGCCUGAGAGGGUGACCGGCCACAUUGGGACUGAGAUACGGCCCAGACUCCUACGGGAGGCAGCAGUGGGGAAUAUUGCACAAUGGGCGGAAGCCUGAUGCAGCAACGCCCGCGUGCGGGGAUGACGGGCC